rnacentral:rRNA from 1 species
AUUGAACGCUGGCGGAAUGCUUUACACAUGCAAGUCGAACGGCAGCACGGGUGCUUGCACCUGGUGGCGAGUGGCGAACGGGUGAGUAAUACAUCGGAACGUACCUUAUCGUGGGGGAUAACGCAGCGAAAGCUGUGCUAAUACCGCAUACGCCCUGAGGGGGAAAGCGGGGGAUCGAAAGACCUCGCGCGAUUAGAGCGGCCGAUGCCUGAUUAGCUUGUUGGUGGGGUAAAAGCCCACCAAGGCGACGAUCAGUAGCUGGUCUGAGAGGACGAUCAGCCACACUGGGACUGAGACACGGCCCAGACUCCGACGGGAGGCAGCAGUGGGGAAUUUUGGACAAUGGGGGCAACCCUGAUCCAGCAAUGCCGCGUGAGUGAAGAAGGCCUUCGGGUUGUAAAGCUCUUUUGUCAGGGAAGAAACACCGGCUCUAACACAGUCCGGGAAUGACGGUACCUGAAGAAUAAGCACCGGCUAACUACGUGCCAGCAGCCGCCGUAA